rnacentral:rRNA from 1 species
UACGAAGGGGGCUAGCGUUGUUCGGAUUUACUGGGCGUAAAGCGUGCGCAGGCGGCUAUGCAAGACAGAUGUGAAAUCCCCGGGCUCAACCUGGGAACUGCAUUUGUGACUGCAUAGCGUAGAGUACGGGUAGAGGGGGAUGGAAAUUCCGCGUGUAGCAGUGAAAUGCGGUAGAUAUGCGGAGGAACACCGAUGGCGAAGGCAAUCCCCCUGGACCUGUACU